UUAUUGGAGAGUUUGAUCCUGGCUCAGGACGAACGCUGGCGGCGUGCCUAAUACAUGCAAGUCGAGCGAAUCUGAGGGAGCUUGCUCCCAAAGAUUAGCGGCGGACGGGUGAGUAACACGUGGGCAACCUGCCUGUAAGACUGGGAUAACUUCGGGAAACCGGAGCUAAUACCGGAUAAUCCCUUUCCUCACAUGAGGAAAGGCUGAAAGACGGUUUCGGCUGUCACUUACAGAUGGGCCCGCGGCGCAUUAGCUAGUUGGUGAGGUAACGGCUCACCAAGGCCACGAUGCGUAGCCGACCUGAGAGGGUGAUCGGCCACACUGGGACUGAGACACGGCCCAGACUCCUACGGGAGGCAGCAGUAGGGAAUCUUCCGCAAUGGACGAAAGUCUGACGGAGCAACGCCGCGUGAGUGAUGAAGGUUUUCGGAUCGUAAAACUCUGUUGUUAGGGAAGAACAAGUAUCGGAGUAACUGCCGGUACCUUGACGGUACCUAACCAGAAAGCCACGGCUAACUACGUGCCAGCAGCCGCGGUAAUACGUAGGUGGCAAGCGUUAUCCGGAAUUAUUGGGCGUAAAGCGCGCGCAGGUGGUUCCUUAAGUCUGAUGUGAAAGCCCACGGCUCAACCGUGGAGGGUCAUUGGAAACUGGGGAACUUGAGUGCAGAAGAGGAAAGUGGAAUUCCAAGUGUAGCGGUGAAAUGCGUAGAGAUUUGGAGGA
rnacentral:rRNA from 1 species